rnacentral:lncRNA from 1 species
AGUGUCUAAUCCAGCCACAUGGAGACCCACUUGGAGCCAACUCCAAACCUCCAGGAAUGAGAUCCUGUUGGGCCUAGUGGAAGUCACAUGCCUCCACGGUACCUAGACACAGGGGGUGAGGGCUCUCUGUCAGCAGGAUAGCCAUCCUAAACUGCAUCUACACUAAAUGCCGAGGUGAGGACCAGCUUGCUACUUGCAGGCAAACAAGGGAUGCCUUUAGGUUCCGUCUGCUCCUGACUCUCGUUCUGGAUGCUGAGGUGUGUGGCUGUCUCCACACAAAGGCUUACAGAGCACACAAGGAAGUCGUGGCUCUAUCAGUAAUUUAAAUGUUGCUGGGAAGCUCUUUGCUCUUCUUCAGGAGAACGCAGAUGAGGCAGCCUUGAAUAACUGGCUAAUAGGAGUUCCUUAUAUAGGGUUCACGUCAUCAGGCAGUUGCUGCCGUUACCAACUGCCUGCCCCUCGGGCGCAAACCAUCUCCAUCUCUCCCAGUUUGUUCCUGGCGCAGCCCUUUGUCCUGAAGUGCAAGCACUUGGAAACUUCAGCAGGUGCCCCUGGAUGAGAUCGGUCACUGUAAGUCAGAGCUUCAGACCCAGGCAACCAGGCUGCAGAAGGUAGGUGCCCAGGCGGCCGGAUGCACGGUCUGAGCUAGGCAAUGAUGGCAUGUAUUUACUUCUCAUAGUGAGACCCAUAGGCUAUACAUCGGUCAUGUAUAUCCUGCAUUUUCCUACAUAGCAUCCCCACCCCCUAGCUGUGUCCCACAG